CCUACGGGAGGCAGCAGUCGAGAAUCAUUCACAAUGGGGGAAACCCUGAUGGUGCGACGCCGCGUGGGGGAAUGAAGGUCUUCGGAUUGUAAACCCCUGUCAUGUGGGAGCAAAUUAAAAAGAUAGUACCACAAGAGGAAGAGACGGCUAACUCUGUGCCAGCAGCCGCGGUAAUACAGAGGUCUCAAGCGUUGUUCGGAAUCACUGGGCGUAAAGCGUGCGUAGGCUGUUUCGUAAGUCGUGUGUGAAAGGCGCGGGCUCAACCCACGGACGGCACAUGAUACUGCGAGACUAGAGUAAUGGAGGGGGAACCGGAAUUCUCGGUGUAGCAGUGAAAUGCGUAGAUAUCGAGAGGAACACUCGUGGCGAAGGCGGGUUACUGGACAUUAACUGACGCUGAGGCACGAAGGCCAGGGGAGCGAAAGGGAUUAGAUACCCGGGUAGUC
rnacentral:rRNA from 1 species